rnacentral:tRNA from 1 species
GGCUGAAUAUCUCAGUGGUAAGAGCAGUCGCCCGGCAAGCGAAAGACUCGGGUUCGAUUCCCGAUUCAGCGA